AAACACUGCGCCGGAAAGAACGGAUUAUAUUGAUGUUAUAAAUUAUAAGGUUAUCCUUCUGUGUUUUCCA
rnacentral:tRNA from 1 species